UGGGGAAUAUUGGACAAUGGGCGAAAGCCUGAUCCAGCCAUGCCGCGUGUGUGAAGAAGGUCUUCGGAUUGUAAAGCACUUUAAGUUGGGAGGAAGGGCAGUAAAUUAAUACUUUGCUGUUUUGACGUUACCGACAGAAUAAGCACCGGCUAACUCUGUGCCAGCAGCCGCGGUAAUACAGAGGGUGCAAGCGUUAAUCGGAAUUACUGGGCGUAAAGCGCGCGUAGGUGGUUCGUUAAGUUGGAUGUGAAAUCCCCGGGCUCAACCUGGGAACUGCAUUCAAAACUGACGAGCUAGAGUAUGGUAGAGGGUGGUGGAAUUUCCUGUGUAGCGGUGAAAUGCGUAGAUAUAGGAAGGAACACCAGUGGCGAAGGCGACCACCUGGACUGAUACUGACACUGAGGUGCGAAAGCGUGGGGAGCAAAACAGGAUUAG
rnacentral:rRNA from 1 species